GUGCCUGAAAUUUAGAAACAUUUAGAAAAGAAAUAUCACCAAUAAAUACACAAAGAUAAAUAUGAUUUAUUUUACUGUUUAUAAUUCAUAUAUAUAUAUCCAAACUGAGAGAGGAUUUACAAAGUGAAUGUAUAUGCAACAAUUGGGUCAUUUGCAGGUAAUGCUGUUAUGAAAAUCUGCAUAUUGAUGGUAAAACAAAGAACAAAGUUAGUGUGGAAAGAGGUCUGUGGAAAGAUGAUGCAAGUGUAGAUUAUUGUCGGCGGUGUGAUUAUUGGUAAAAGAAAACAGCUUGUUGAAAAGAAUUGUGGCCCUCGAAUCAUUUGUUUGGCAAAAAUCCAACACACUUACACUAUUAGGAAGAACAUCAAAAAUAAACUGCAGCUGUCUGUGGAGAACAUCUCAUUUGAAGUUGCAGACACAGUGAAAUUGGUUUACCAAUAGACAAAGUCAAACAAUUCUAAUACAAUUGAAAUCAUGUUUCUCCAGAGCCUAUAUUUUGUACAAACACCACACACAUACAAACUUAGACAUGCAUUCAGCUUUAUACUGAACUCUUAAUAUGAUGUUUAUGUGUGAAAUUUAAUUUAUCAAGAUAGCAUACAUACAUGAUGAUAUACAUACAAAUACACA